UAUGUAUAUGUUGUUUAUUUUGGUCAGGAGUAUAUGUUUUAUGUAUAUAUUUUUUGGUCGGGUGGAUGGGAAGGAUAUGGAGUAUGUAAUGUAUGUUAAUUUCAUGAAGUUUGAUGUUGUAAUUGUAGUGAAUGUUAGUAAUCAAUGAAUUUUAUUGCAAACUUUGCAGCUACAUUCAGUUAAUUCUUUUGGUUUAGAGUUUAGAUUAUGCAAAUAAUUUGAGUUAUAGUAUCAAAAUGUAUGCUUCAGAAAAAUGUUCAAAAUGUGAAACUCCAUUGGUGCACUACAAUACUACAUGGUCACAUAACUAUAUAAAAGUAAAAAUAAAAAACCUUUUUAAAAAUAAUGUCCACCUGCAUGCUAUAUUUUCAGUUCAUUUUUUUUUUUAAAAAUAAUGUCCCUAGAGCUCCUACUACUAUACCAUGUGUUUGUAUGUGUGUUAAAGUCAAUGAAUCACGCGCAAUGCCCGACUCAUGCGGAAGCACGGGUACUUUACUAGUUAUAUAGAAGAGUUGAGGUUUAACAACACAUAAGUGUCUCAACUCAUAAAUCUAAUACUUUAAUAUUUUGGAUGAAGAUGUAAUUUUCAACUUCAAUUGUAUGGUUGCUCUUAGCUCAAUACAUCUAUUGUUGGAUUACUGACACGGAUAGUCUCCAAAUUGAGGGAGAUAUAUUGUAUAUGUGAAAUAGUUGAGGUUUAACAACAUAUAAGUAACAAAACUCAUAAACUCAAUGCUUUGAUAUUUUGGGAUGAAAUGGUGGUGUCUAACUUCACUUGUGGUAUUUUUUGCUCUGAUAUCACCUUCUCUUUGAAGGUGUAUAUAUACCUAACGAAUUAUACGUCAAACAUUUUUCAAAAACAAUAAUGAGUUCAAAUGGUUAAACUUCCUUAUGACGAAUUGUACGAGAGAAUCCAAGUAAGUUUGAUUCAUAAUGAAAACAAUUUUUUUAUUGAACUUUAUUUACUCCGCGGUUGAACUCUAAAUUACUAGAAUCUCUUUCUCAUAACCAAAGGGUUAAAAGUUAAAACCAAAUAAAUAAAUAAAUAAAUAAUGAACACUAUGUAGUAGGGAGCAUGCAUCUUUCUUUUCUUUGUUUUGAUUAAAAUCCACAAUUGCUUUGGUAUUUCAUUUCUUGGCAGCCAAGGCAUACGACUUUUGGACACAAAUAUUAUUUUAUGCAUAAAGCAUGUCAGUUUGUUUCUCUUACAAUUAAAUAUCAGACUAAAAAAUGUAGUUCUACUACUAUAUAAAGCGUCAGCUUGUCUUUGCUAUUUCAUCCUUCUUAAUUGUAUGUCUUUUUCUUAAAAAAAUAGAUUAAUGCUAUAAGUUAGUUUGUUAGAGUAAUGCUUGGUUUGUUCGUAGUACGUAAGAGUAAUGCUUUGCGGAAAUGUUUUAUUCUGAGUCCAUUUCUUUAAUAAUUAGUUCUUUAUUUUCAAGCACACCUUUUAUCUUUUAGGCAUCACCUAUCUCUUAUCUCUCGAAGUAUCACUUUGUUCCUAUUUUUUUGUCUUUUAAAUUUUUUUUCGGCAAAAAUUGAACUUUAAACUUCUUUCUUAAUAUAUAUUUCAAUUUAUCUAAAUUGUGUGUGGGUGUAUGUUGUGUUGGACAAUGAAGAUAAUACUUGGUUCGCUCGUCGUGCGUAAGAGCAAUGUUGCUUUGCCGAUAUAUUUAAUUCUGAGUCCA
rnacentral:lncRNA from 1 species